UAGCUUAAUGGUUGAGCGCUGGCUUUGAGAGCCACAGGUCGGUGGUUCGAGCCCACC
rfam:Phytophthora infestans T30-4 supercont1.4875 genomic scaffold, whole genome shotgun sequence.